rnacentral:lncRNA from 1 species
CCCAAAUGUGGCCUUGGGUUUUCAGGAGCCCAGUAGUGACUUCUGUGGUCCCUGACUUGCACCCUCACCCUAUUAUUGGAGUUGUGCUUCAUUUCUCUGUGUGGAAAGAGUGAAGUAUUGGGAAAUAUGACCCUGGUCACCAAACCAACUCAGAGACAGCAAGUGCUUUGGCAAAGGAAAGGGCUGGCACAGAGAACAGAGUCGAUUUCUCAUUGUCUUCACCAAUCUUCUGAACCCGUGAAUACUUUUUGCAUGAUGAUUUGAAGCAGCCAGGAGGCCAAGACAGCGGCCAGGAGAAGCAGCAAGGAAUUGAGCCUUGUACAUUUUUCUCAAAAAAAUAAAAGAUGGGGAACCACCAUGCUCGAGAUAAGAAAUUAGUCUGUGAAGAGACCUUCAAGUUCUGUAAAUGGUAGAAAAAAAUUUAAAUGAGACAUAUCUUUCUCAAUUUGCAUCCCAAUUAUUUUCUUAAAUUGUCAUUCACUGUAACCUAGGGAAAACAGAAUUCAGAAUCACAUGGCAGUAAUGAUUUUCAUGUCCUUUCCCUAACUCUACCAUGACUCCGCUCCCCUAACACACCUAGGUGUCUUUCUUUCCUUUGUGGCUCAUGCAAUUUCUUCUGCCUGCAAUUCCAGUAAGAAUGGAGACUCUGGGAAUGGAUUUCAGAAUUAUUCAGGAGGAAUAAUUUUCAGGAUGUGUGAGUGAUCAAAUCUAGGGGCCAAGCAAGUCAAAGAGUGAAAGAAGAGCUCAGAAGUUGAACACAUUUAAGAGGAAAGAUGAAAAUUUUGGUUCAGUGGUGUCAGUAGUCAACUAGAUGGAAGUGUAAGAAGGAAGAUGGAAAUGGGAGACUACAAAAUAGGAAACAGAGCUACAAAGAGAAAUAAAGUAAUCCAAAGAAAGAGCAUUUAUUAGUGGACACCAAGAGUUGGACGUAGAUCCUUUGGAAAUGUAAUAUUUCAAUUGCUCACAAAUUCUCCAAAUUGACAAUAUGGCAAGUCUAUUCAAAGAUAAGUAAGUCAUGGUACACAGACCAACUCUAUUACACCAAGGACACAUACCAAGACUAGGAGAAAAGAGAGACUGGGAGGAAUAAUUCUGCCUUCGGACCAGAGGAAGAGAGCAAGAGUUAGAGACAGCUUCCUGGAAGAGGUGGCAUUUGAGCUAGCUCUUUAAGUUUCAAUGGGAGAAGAAAGAAAAGGCAUCUGGAAACAAGGAAGCAGCAGUAGCAAAUGAGGAAGAAUCAGAAGGGAAGCCAGAGAGCACCAUUAUCACCAGAGGAUAUACCAAAUCCAGUCAUUCAUAAGCUAUUUAUUUUGUGUGAUUUUAAACAAUAGCUGCUAUCGGCUGGGCACGGUGGUUCACGCCUAUAAUCCUGGCACUUUGGGAGGCCGAGGUGGGAGGAUCACCUGAGGUCAGGAGUUCAAGGCCAGCCUGGCCAACAUGGUGA